ACACAUGCAGUCGAGCGGUAAGGCCUUUCGGGGUACACGAGCGGCGAACGGGUGAGUAACACGUGGGUGAUCUGCCCUGCACUCUGGGAUAAGCUUGGGAAACUGGGUCUAAUACCGGAUAUGACCACAGCAUGCAUGUGUUGUGGUGGAAAGAUUUAUCGGUGCAGGAUGGGCCCGCGGCCUAUCAGCUUGUUGGUGGGGUAAUGGCCUACCAAGGCGACGACGGGUAGCCGACCUGAGAGGGUGACCGGCCACACUGGGACUGAGACACGGCCCAGACUCCUACGGGAGGCAGCAGUGGGGAAUAUUGCACAAUGGGCGGAAGCCUGAUGCAGCGACGCCGCGUGAGGGAUGAAGGCCUUCGGGUUGUAAACCUCUUUCAGCAGGGACGAAGCGUGAGUGACGGUACCUGCAGAAGAAGCACCGGCUAACUACGUGCCAGCAGCCGCGGUAAUACGUAGGGUGCGAGCGUUGUCCGGAAUUACUGGGCGUAAAGAGUUCGUAGGCGGUUUGUCGCGUCGUUUGUGAAAACCCGGGGCUCAACUUCGGGCUUGCAGGCGAUACGGGCAGACUUGAGUGUUUCAGGGGAGACUGGAAUUCCUGGUGUAGCGGUGAAAUGCGCAGAUAUCAGGAGGAACACCGGUGGCGAAGGCGGGUCUCUGGGAAACAACUGACGCUGAGGAACGAAAGCGUGGGUAGCAAACAGGAUUAGAUACCCUGGUAGUCCACGCCGUAAACGGUGGGCGCUAGGUGUGGGUUCCUUCCACGGGAUCUGUGCCGUA
rnacentral:rRNA from 1 species